GUGUGCGUCAUUCUCGCUCUCCCCGCGAUCUUCCGGACACGUAUAUUAUUUAUCGUAGCUGGCUAUUACGAUCUUUCCAGCGAUUCUCUCGUCUCGAAAUAACCACAUCGAUCGCGACCGAGGGGCCUCGAGUUGAGUCAGGUCGCGGUCACGAGGGUGUUGCACCACGUUGCGCCACGCUUUGCGCCACGUUGCACCAGUUGCAGAGAUUCAAGGGGAAAUGCUGUCGUUCGUAUUUGCGGAUCGUUGCACGCCUCCGCCGGGGUCGUGAUUCGUAAUUCAUUGCGUCUCGAACUCUUUAGUUUAGAGGAAAAGGUAGGAAAGAGAAGAAGAUAAAACAGACGAACCGGAGAUUUUUAAUCUUCGAUCGCCAGUGAUUUUGGGUGCAUCGACCUGGAUCUACCCGAAGGACACAGCCGUGUAAAUAACGAUAAAUACCUAUUGGAGACGUUUUGGGUUUAAACAUGUGUGUACGUGUUUAGAGAUUGAUAAUUAAACGAUCUUAUGACAAGUUGAUGAUAAUCGGAUACUUCUGGUUGAUCUACGCGUUUAGGAAUAAGUAUUUUCGAUAGAUUUGGUAAUCGAAGGAAUUGAUGGGACGGAACGGAAACUGUUGAAAAAAAAAGUGCAAAUUACAACCUCGCAUUAUCGUCGCUUACAUGGGCCAAGCGGCAAUAAUAAUUCAAUUUGUUAUCUUUCGUAGAGCUCCCUCAUGAUUAUUCCACUGCCAAUAUCGGUUUUAUCGAUACGUGGAGAUCGAAGCGUGGGGUUGAUACGCCACGGGAGUAAAGAAAUUCCCGUGACUAAUGGAAGAACACACGCAUUACUUCGUUCCAUGGGGUCCAGGGGAGGACCUGGCCGUGGCAUCUGUUCUUCAGUUACGAAGAACUUUGUUAAACUUCUUUUUUCCCCAGCUUUCUCUCCCUUUCUCCGUUAAUACAACACUCAUGGAGUGUCGGAGCUUUGGGAAAUUAUAGAUAAUCUAGAGCGUUCUCCUCUCUUUUUUUGGUAAUAGGACACGCCGUAGGAAAUUCGAUACAUCGUGGUUAGCGUGCAUGAAGAUAAAUGUGUCAAACUGAUAAAUAAUGCAUUGGAAUAUUUGAGAAAUAAGAAGUAUGAGAGUAUACGGUAGUGAGAUCGAUUGGGAUUAGGUUUUGAGGAUGUUUUGUCCCAAAAUGAGCAUCCCAGUUCGUUUUUAUGUAAUUUUUCGUAGGAAUUUGACAGAUUUAUGAAUAAUUUCAAUGAUUUUUUGAAAAUACAUAUAUAAAAGCUGUUUACAUUUUAUAUAUAUACGUAUAUUAUAAUUUCACAUUUAACAUAUUUUAUAUGCAUAAGCAUAUUCAGUAUAAUUAUGUAAAUCUAUUACAUUUAGCCAGAUGCUUCCUAACUAACCAGUUUUCCUUUCAAAUUUUUUCAAACUUGUUACUAGUUAUAACCAGUGUUACUGAAUUCUAAUUACAUCGGACCUAGUUGCAAUACAAAAUGAAUUUAAAUUAGGACACCAAUUUAGUCGAAGCAUUAACAUUCACGAAGUGAAUGCUAGCUUUUGUUACGUUCCAGUAUUUCGUCCAUAACUUUCCUUUUCUUUCGUUCGCCUCGUGCAAGCAAAAUACCCUUAUGUGAAGCGAAAUCGACAGCAUCUGUAUAAAUCUCGUACAGCUUAUGAGGUGAACGAAAAACGUCUUUUCUCUUUCUCUUUCUAUUCCUGGUCGAAUAACAAUAGCCACUUGAGCAUGUCGCUUUUAUCAGAAUUCCAGGAGGAAAAAUAGCUGUUGAAUAAUGUAACAGCAACUUCUCUAUCUAGUGAAAAUGGACGGCCGGUUUUUCGUUUAUCGAAUCGUCAUUGCAUUCGGGAUGGUUUGUUCUUGGUCAAUUUUUUCAGCGUUUUCGAAUCAUACUUUCCACACCAUGACGUUUACGAGCGUUCAUUGGAAGUAGAGCGCUUAUCGGUUGUGAAAUUUGUCGACCGAUUUCCGGUAAUAGUACCCAGUUGAAUUAUUGGAAUAAUGGAAAUUCGAUCGAGUAAUUUUUCUUUUAAGAGCAAAGAUUUUUCUUUUCUAUGGUAUUUUCGUAGAUCUAAUUUUUGAUAUUAAAGAUAUGAUCUGAAUAGUGAUAGAUUAAUUCGCUAAUUAAUUUAAUUAAUUUAAUUGGUUUGUGAUAGUUUGGCGAUAAUGAAUUUCGGAAAUUCAAACUUGUUUGUCUUAUCGGAUCUCAGAAGACAUUUUACAUUUCCAGUCGUUUAAAUGAAAUAUACCUUUAAUUAUUGGAAAGUAUGUAUGUUGUGACCUAUAUUUUAUAAAUUGGAUACGCAAACAUGGUAGAACAUCGAUUACUUGGAUAAACUGAGGAUAAGUUGAUCUUUGGGUAAUCGCUAAUUAGCGCACCUGUUUCGCUAUUGGGGUGAAAUUUCCGAGGGGUGGCAAAUUAAAAUAAGAUAUUCGAUAAAAUAAAUUUUAAUAUACAUCAAAUAGCAAGCAGACUGUAUAUAAUUAACCGAUAUUUAUUUCGCUACUUUCCUAAUUUAUUAUAAUUUGAGACUUACUUUUAUGCAAACGAUUGCUGUACACCUGAUGUGCGAGGUCAUUUUCUUAUACAACUGAUAGAUAACAAGUUAUUUUAGAUAACAAAUUCCUUCGGUUUAUCCUCUAUAUUUUUUAUCAGACAAAAUUAUAUUUAUGAGAAUCACAAUAUUUUUCACUUAUUACUUAUCUGUUAGGAUUUUUGUAUCUAUCACUACAAAUAUUUUAAUGUAAGUUAAAAGGAACGAGCGAUACGAACGAGGUUUGUAGACCAAUUACAUACCAGUUUACUUUCUAUCCUAACCUAACCCACUGUACUUUAUACUACCAAAUGUCUGCAAGGUAUCGAUUUUUCUACAACAUGGUGCGAUCGUACACGUUGUAAGUUGCAACGAGAUAAUGGCUAUCUAACCGGAUGACCGACUAUAGAGUGUCAAAGGACUUCUUUUUUUUUCUUACAAACCAAACACACGAUAGGUAGAGGUAUCGUCUUUCUUGAGAACACGUCAUGAACACAUGUCGUACCGUGGAAAAAUUCACGGCUUGUCUGGUUACGAUUGCAAAGUAACACGAUUAUAAAGAGGUCUCUGUAUGCAUAUCGAAAAGCAAAGUUCAGUUACUAAUUUUACCGUUCCAUGAUAGACCGCGAUCAGUCACACGUCCGAGAAAAUAGUAAAGCUGACAGGGAACCAACUGUACGAUACUAUCUGUAGAAUGUAAAUUACGUUGUUGUUGGCUUUAAUAAUACUUUCAAACUGUACACAUAAUUGUAGAGUUUAUUAAUGAGAAUUUGUGAAUCGAUUGAUUAAAGAACUUGUCUGAUAGUUAGUUUCCCAUGGUUAAUCGUUUGUUUCACUUUUAUUAACUCUCGUGAAAUAAAGUUUUUUUUUUGUUUACCUGGGAAUAUUACACAUUCUUUCCUAUGUUGUAUGAUAGGAUUCUUUUUAUGAAACAACAUGAUGGGAUAAGUACAAUCGUAAUGCAAUACAUUGUUGGAAUAGAAUUUUCUAUGAUCGAGUUAAAAAAUCAAGUUCAAAUUUUGGGAUGAAGAUCUAAUAAAGGCUUGUAACGCCCAAAAACAGACUACAACAGAAUUUUAACACGUAUCUGAUUCUAGUGAAGUCGGCAGGUACGCAGAAAAAUACAAGGAAAGAACGGCAACACAUCCAAACCAGCUGGCUGCUGAAGGAAGCAAAACUC